AGCCCCGAGGUGAUUUUCAUGUUGAAUUGCAAAUUCAAAGGAGCAGUUNNNAGAUUUCUGCCGGGGCUU
rnacentral:tRNA from 1 species